AGCGACCGGCAGGCACACGAGACCGGCGCGCGGAAACAUUCCACAUUACCAAUGGCGAACAGCCUUCAUCCCAUUCACGUUUAUCACUGGUGCAUCGCAUCAUCGAUGGCUUGACCGUUUCGCGGUCGCAAAUCCAAGGUUUUACCUUUGUGUGUAUCGGUUGGCUGGGUCCUCGUACAUAAUCGUGACCGCAGAAUGGUUCCGGAGCGUCAUAUCCUUCGGCACGAUUAAAGAACCGACGACUUUAAUCCCGGACGAGUGUCCACGGGAACGCUGGGAAUACGAUUCCAGCAUAAAGCGACGACUUUAUGGUUAUUCGACGUACGAUUCGCUGACGGGUUCACUUUGUGGAAGACAACGGGGCUGGAAGGAAGAGGAACAGGGAGGCGGAGGAAGACGAUGACGAGGAGGAGAACGAGGACGACUCACGAAGGACGACAAAACGCAGCAGCCACGCCGGUUUUGCUACCUGAACGCUUGCUCCCAGCGAGAGCUUUCUUUCAUCUAACGGGUGACGCGUUGUGAAUUGAAAUAUUUGACAUUUUAAAGUAAGAAGUAAUUCGCUUCGUUUUUCAUUUUUCGACAACAAUCCAUGUUCAGUUCUGUCACUUCAAGAAUUUUUCAAUUUCGGUGUUUUACUAUUUGGAAAAUCAGAUUUGACGUGGUACAGAACUUUCGGUUUAUUGAAUUCUGUUUGUGUUCGUUUAGUUAAUUUUGUUUGUUCGUGUCGAUAACUUUCUCGAUAUUACUCGGCUUGUUUUUUCUUCCUUGUUCAGUUAAUCUUUAGAAUCGAAUGCAACAAAAUUUCUUUUUUUAUUUUAUCGUUAAUAAUAGAACCUUAUCUUUCCUGAUGUUUGCCUAAAGAAGACAUUACUGUACAAUGUAAAGUAGAUAGAUUUCUUUUUAAACAAUAUUUUUUUACUGCUUUCUUAAAAUAGUAUGUCUCUAAUUUAUUCAGUUAAUGUGGUAAAUUUAUAGUAAUUAUACUUCAUAGUACUCUUAUUUUUGAACUGCAUUAGCGGACAAAUUCCUCUUUGGGCUAAUCCAUUUGUUAUUUCGCUAAAGAUAGAGAUGGUUACUGUAAGGGAAUUUGCUGUAUCCAGAGGCUUUCCAUGGAAUCCCUCCUUGAUUGCGUGAACUGACUGUUAACGUAGCGCAGAAAUAGCGGAGAAACAUUUCAGAAAUAAACUGUGAACUUCACCGUCAGGUGUAGCCAUGAA